AGCAGCCGCGGUAAUUCCAGCUCCAAUAGCGUAUAUUAAAGUUGCUGCAGUUAAAAAGCUCGUAGUUGAAUUUCGGGACCAUCAUGUCGGUCGUGCCUCGGUACGUACUGGUAUUGUUGGUUUCUCCCUUCUGACGAACCAUGAUGUCAUUUAUUUGGUGUUGUGGGGAAUCAGGACUGUUACUUUGAAAAAUUAGAGUGUUUAAAGCAGGCUCACGCUUGAAUACAUUAGCAUGGAAUAAUGAAAUAGGACGUUUGAUUCUAUUUUGUUGGUUUCUAGGAUCGACGUAAUGAUUAAUAGGGAUAGUUGGGGGCAUUAGUAUUCAAUUGUCAGAGGUGAAAUUCUUGGAUUUAUUGAAGACUAACUACUGCGAAAGCAUUUGCCAAGGAUGUUUUCAUUAAUCAAGAACGAAAGUUAGGGGAUCGAAGACGAUCAGAUACCGUCGUAGUC
rnacentral:rRNA from 1 species